GAUCCUGGGGGCCAGGGUGAGGGGUAUUUUACGGGAACUCUAUAAAGCAGGAAAAAGCAAGUUUAUUCUUUAGACCAGUAGCUCUCAACCAUGAUGUGGUCGUAUAUUUAUGGGUCAACAUGUGUUGUGGGGAUAUCCCAAGUAACUUGUUAUUAAUAAAAGUUAAGUUGCAAAAUUUAUUAAAGACUAACUUUUAUAAAUUAAAACAUAUUCCAGGUCAUCUCUCUAACAAAGUCAUUUGCACUUGAUUCCUCUAUGCUAUCUGAGUGGGUCACAGUGGGUGACAUCAUGAUGGAGUAUGGGGAAUUACAUCUGGUCCCAGGUUCACCUCUGAGAGCUUGCCAUACAUUUAAAUGUCAUCCAUUGAGUGAUUCACAGGAGAAAACAGGAUGAGAAUUGACAUUUUGAGGUUGUGAAUUUGAAUCACGAGAGACAAAAUGUUAGGGGCCAGGUCACUUCAUUCAUGUUUGUGUCUACACACCCAUUAACUUUUCUUAAAAGCUUUAAAAAAGCAAUCUACAUGGCUUUUUUUUAAUGCCAAUAUUCAUUUAACAAGUUAUUUUUAAAGCAUCUGCUAUAUGAAGAAUACUUAAAGCCCCAGUCCUGAUGGGAAACUUACAACCAAGAUGGAGGAGAUACAUGUAAAAUAAUAAAGAAGUAUAUAAUACAUCAGGCAAUAGUAAGAGCCUAUGGGGAACAAUAAAGCAGGACUUUGUGGGUUUUGUUAUGUGAGUGCUUGGGGAGCCCUCACUGAGAUGACAUUUGAGGAGAGGGAGUGAACCCUGCAUAUGUGUAGGGGGAAGAGUGUUCUUGCAGUCAUAGACAGUAGCAAGUGCAAAGGCCCUGCAGCCAGUAUGCAAGGAGCAGCCAAGAGGUCCAUGUGGCUGGAGCGCAGUGACCCAAGUAGGUGAGGGAAGAGCAAGUAGAAGUUGAAGUCAGAGGAAAAGGGAGAUGGGCUGGGUCAUGCAGGGCCUUGCAUUUUAGUAGAAAUGGGAGUGGGGGCCAUGAAGGGUUUUGAGCACAGGAGUAACAUGAUUUAACUUACAUUUUAAAAGGCUCAUCUGCUGAAAAUAGAUUGUCAUAGAGAAUAAGCAGGGAGACAAGUAAGAAAGUUGUUGCAGGAAUCCAGGUGAGAGAUGAGCUGGACCAGAAUGGUAUCAGUGGAGGAGGUGAGGACUGGCUGGAUUGGGGAUAUAUUUUGAAGGUAGAGGUGAUAGGAUUUGCUGAGGGAUUCGAUGUGAUUUGUUCCAGAAAGACAGAAAUUAAGGAUGACUCCAGGAUUUUUAGCCUGAGUAUCUGGAGGAAAGCAUUGCCAUGUACCAAAAUGGGAUGGACUGGAAAGAACUGGUUUGGGGGAAAGAUGAAGAGUUCAGUUUUAGACAUGUUUCAGGUUCCUAUUGGAAAUCCAACUAGAAAUGUCAUCAAGAAUAAAAGUAUACUUUUGCUUUUUUUUAUUGGAAAGGUGCACAAAAUGAAAGGCCUCCUUUUCUUAUCCCUCCAUUCAGAUGGAAAAACUGUUCAUGGUUUGGUGACGUCCUUCACAAGUACACACGCAUGCACAUGUGUGUGUACAUGACUUUGUGUUAUUUAAUGCUUUCUGAUAAUACCCUUACUGCCUUCACCUAGCAGGGCCUUGGAGUCCUGAGAUCUUCCCUCCCCCAUUUUCUCUGCUCCCCGCUCCACUCCAGUCCUCACAAUAUCAUACUUUUUGCCUUUCACUUCUAGGAGGAGAUUGUAUUUCGUUACUACCACAAACUCAGGAUGUCUGCGGAGUACUCCCAGAGCUGGGGCCACUUCCAGAAUCGUGUGAACCUGGUGGGGGACGUUUUCCGCAAUGACGGUUCCAUCAUGCUUCAAGGAGUGAGGGAGUCAGAUGGAGGAAACUACACCUGCAGUAUCCACCUAGGGAACCUGGUGUUCAAGAAAACCAUUGUGCUGCAUGUCAGCCCGGAAGAGCCUCGAACACUGGUGACCCCGGCAGCCCUGAGGCCUCUGGUCUUGGGUGGUAAUCAGCUGGUGAUCAUCGUGGGAAUUGUCUGUGCCACAAUCCUGCUGCUCCCUGUUCUGAUAUUGAUCGUGAAGAAGACCUGUGGAAAUAAGAGUUCAGUGAAUUCUACAGUCUUGGUGAAGAACACGAAGAAGACUAAUCCAGAGAUAAAAGAAAAACCCUGCCAUUUUGAAAGAUGUGAAGAGGAGAAACACAUUUACUCCCCAAUAAUUGUACGGGAGGUGAUCAAGGAAGAAGAACCAAGUGAAAAAUCAGAGGCCACCUACAUGACCAUGCACCCAGUUUGGCCUUCUCUGAGGUCAGAUCGGAACAACUCACUUGAAAAAAAGUCAGGUGGGGGAAUGCCAAAAACACAGCAAGCCUUUUGAGAAGAAUGGAGAGUCCCUUCAUCUCAGCAGCGGUGGAGACUCUCUCCUGUGUGUGUCCUGGGCCACUCUACCAGUGAUUUCAGACUCCCGCUCUCCCAGCUGUCCUCCUGUCUCAUUGUUUGGUCAAUACACUGAAGAUGGAGAAUUUGGAGCCUGGCAGAGAGACUGGACAGCUCUGGAGGAACAGGCCUGCUGAGGGGAGGGGAGCAUGGACUUGGCCUCUGGAGUGGGACACUGGCCCUGGGAAC
rnacentral:sRNA from 1 species